AACGAACGUUAGCGGCGCGCCUAACACAUGCAAGUCGAGCGAGAAAGGGCUUCGGCCCCGGUAAAGCGGCGCACGGGUGAGUAACACGUAGGUAAUCUGCCCCUGGGUGGUGGAUAACGUUCCGAAAGGAGCGCUAAUACAGCAUGAGACCACGGUUCCGAAAGGGACAGGGGUCAAAGCCGGCCUCUUCACGAAAGCUGGCGCCUGGGGAUGAGCCUGCGGCCCAUCAGCUAGUUGGUAGGGUAACGGCCUACCAAGGCGAAGACGGGUAGCUGGUCUGAGAGGAUGAUCAGCCACACUGGAACUGAGACACGGUCCAGACUCCUACGGGAGGCAGCAGUGGGGAAUCUUGCGCAAUGGGCGAAAGCCUGACGCAGCGACGCCGCGUGAGUGAUGAAGGCCUUCGGGUUGUAAAGCGUCUGUGGAGGGGGGACGGAAGUAAAGGGGUUAGGCGUUAACAAUCCAGCUCGAUGACGGUACCCUUUUAGUCAAGCACCGGCUAACUCUGUGCCAG
rnacentral:rRNA from 1 species